rnacentral:lncRNA from 1 species
AUGAUGCUCAAUGACAGCCCAAUCAUCCAACAUUAUCCAAGGACGAUGCUCCAGAUGAUAGCCCGAUCAUCCAACAUUAUCCAAGGACAAUGCUUGAUGACAGCCCGAUCAUCCAACAUUAUCCAAGGACGAUGCUCGAUGACAGCCCCAUCAUCCAACAUUAUCCAAGGACGAUGCUCCAGACGACAGCCCAAUCAUCUAACAUUAUCCAAGGACGAUGCUCCAGACGACAGCCCGAUCAUCCAACAUUAUCCAAGGACGAUGCUCAAUGACAGCCCGAUCAUUGAACAUUAUCCAAGGACCAUGCUCAAUGACAGCCCGAUCAUUGAACAUUAUCCAAGGACGAUGCUCCAGAUGAUAGCCCAAUCAUUGAACAUUAUCCAAGGACGAUGCUCGAUGACAGCCCGAUCAUCCAACAUUCACUCCAAUGAUUCUUCCACAAAGACCGCUGGUUCUGGCUGGGUUUGGAUUCUGGGUAAACAGUCUAUAAACAACACCUUUUGCUUGCUGGGCUCUUCCCACAGCACAAUUAGAAAGAAGGAGAUUCAAAGCAACGUAUGGCAAAGAAGUUUGAAUGUCUCCCAGUGGACUUCAGAUUUGUUUUGCCUUUGUAGCGGCAUGACAGACAGCUUGCUGCUCCAAGCAGUUGAUGGGCUCUAGUAGGGUAAGGGGGAAACUUGCUCAUCCGGUGGGUGUCCCACAGAACUGGCAGAAUGAGGAGGGAUGCUUCGAAAUCUCCUUCUCCAGAACCCUUAAAAAUUGGUUCCCCAUGGGGGAGAGGUUCUCUGGAAGGAGGGAGGGGCUCUCGAGCUCCUUCCAGGCUGCCUCUGCCCCAUCAGGCUCCUCGUGGGCUCAAAAGGAAGCUGUUCCCAGCCAGGGCCAGUAUCUUGAGGCAAAGCCUCAACGGAAACAGUCUGAGCCUUGGGAGAGGCCGCUGGGCCGGUGGGGAUGCUUGAAAGAAAGGGGAACGGCCAGCAGACGCCUUGGUGGAACCAUGGGGCUGGCCACUUCCUCAAGCAGCCCAGUGCCAGUCAUUUGGCCAAGUGCCUGCGAACGAUUACCAGCUGCCAGUGAACGAUUACCAGCUCGUGGAGAGCUUUGGGAUCCCAGGAGAUCGGCUAUUGUUCCAGAAAAGAGUUCUGGAGGCUCCCCGGCCCUUCUUUGGGAUCAGCAGAGCCCCGCAAAGGCUCCACGACCGCCCUGGAGGGAUACUUUCCCCCAAAGUCAUGCUUGCUACACUGUAGCUCAAAACUGCCAUUCUCUGGUGAGGCCACAAGAAUCCGAAGCCAGAGUGCCAGAAGGGGGCUGGCCGGAGCCCUCCUCGGUCUCUGAAACGUUUCAGUCAGGGACUCGAGCCCCCUCGCUCGGGUUCCAAUAUCUGGAUUUUUCCAGCGAUCAUUAA